UGCCCCGUGGCUGAGUUGGUUACAGCGGUUGACUGUUAGUAAUUAUAUACUAAUUUAAUCAGACGGUCCAGAGUUCGAGUCUCUGCGGGGCAG